GGGGUCGCAAAGGUUUCGACGGGGAUUGUGAGGUACGGUAAGCGAGUAGCGGUGCAGGACCGCUAUAAACCCUGCAAACUUUAAAGUAAACGACAGAUCUACUGUUGCUUUGGCGGCCUAAUUAGGCCCCCGUCUUUACCCGAAGUACCGCGGUCGGGAUAAAGGCGUCGACGAGCGGUGAACAUGAACCGAAAGGUGCCACACUUUCGGUCAUGGCGUAGUGGCUACCGUAGCGAAUAGCCUGUCGGUCGGCGAUUCGCGAGGGGAAUCCUAAAAGAUCUACUGCACUCGGAGAAAGCUGUAUCAAGUGAUUUUCGGACAGGGGUUCGAUUCCCCUCGACUCCACCA
rnacentral:tmRNA from 1 species